UCAGUAGUCACGCUCUAAUGCUCCAUCAAGAUGCCUGGCCAGAAAACAACAUCUUCGUCGCGCCGGAAAUCGCCUUCGCUGCGGCGGAGCUUCAAUAACCCUCCAACUCACAUCAAUGGAACCGUCCCUCCAUCCUCCCUCACAAUACAACCUUAGUUUUCAUCAAUUCCUAAUCAAAACCUCAAAUUGAAACAAAAAUGUCACGAACCCUAACUUUCAAUUUUCAAAUUACACGUCACAGAGACGACAUUGGGAGCCCCAACCAUAUGGGUUUGGCUCCCCACGCACCAAACUACAUCACAACAACUGGUUUAGCAUGAAACAAGGGAGAAACGAGGGCUUACCUACCGGAGCAGCUCCGGUGGCUCUUGGAUAUGUAUGUUUGAUGUUUGAUGAUGAAAACCAGAGACCUUCCUCUUCAGUUAGCCAAUGUGGAUACUCUGUUAGGAGGUUAGUAUUUGCAUGCUUUGCUAAGUUGGUAAUGUAGUUAGCCUUCAAUUGGUUAUGUUAUGUUAUUAAGUGUUAAACGUGGGUGAUCUCAAUUAACUAGUUAGUGAAUGGAAAAUGCUUAAUAAUUAUAUGAGUUUAGUGUUAGUUUAAUGGACUUGAAAUGGACUGAUUUCCUGCUGUGACAUGCUAACUAGAACGAAAGCUAAAAAAUUGAUUCAAUAUUCUUAGAGUAUGUAUGUGGAUUGAAUGACGCAUUAUUGUUAAGUUAAAAUUCUGUUUUAACGUUCAGUUGGCUAUGUUAGUGCAGAUUUUGUGAAGUUAUUAUAGCCAUGAAUGGUUGAAUGAAAAAAAAUGUGUUUUGCAUGCCCAAAGUGACCUAAAUGGAAGCAUAUAGAUUAUGGUUGCCAAGUUCAAAGAAAGAUGUCCUUUUUGGUUUUUGAUUCAAGUCGUGUAUCAAGUGAUGUUAUGUAAUAGUAUGGUGAUAUGAUGUAAGAGUCCUUAGGAUUGACUCAUGUGGUAUGCUUGUAAUGAAGUAGGUUCAUGGAUGAUUAUGUGCCAUGCUUGUAAUGAAGUAGGUUCAUGGAUGAUUAUGUGCCAUGCUUGUAAAUGAAAACUCUCUUAUGAUUAUUAUGUAAACAUGCUUAUGUAAUGGAAAAAAACUAAAUUGUGAUAAA